GUUGAUGAUGUAGACUCCAGGGAGAACAUGAACUGAUAAGCGGAGUUUUGUCAUAUAACUUUUGUGACACAAAACUGAGGGUUUUCAUAAUGCUUAAAAUGACUUGUAGUAUAACAGCCGUCCAUGUUGGUGAAGCACAGGCUCAAACGCUUGCCUCUGUCACCUGCAUUCAACUCCUCCACUUCUUUAGUUUCCUCGUCCUCUUUUUACCUGUUGGAAUGCCAGUGAACUUCAAGGAUUUUUAUCAUCACUUUUUUGAGUGACCAUUUUUUAUUGACCAUUUAAUUUUUUUAUCUAUUUAAUAAAUUCUCAUAGUGCUGGUA